rnacentral:rRNA from 1 species
UUUAAUUCGAUGCAACGCGAAGAACCUUACCUGGUCUUGACAUCCACGGAAGUUUUCAGAGAUGAGAAUGUGCCUUCGGGAACCGUGAGACAGGUGCUGCAUGGCUGUCGUCAGCUCGUGUUGUGAAAUGUUGGGUUAAGUCCCGCAACGAGCGCAACCCUUAUCUUUGUUGCCAGCGGUCCGGCCGGGAACUCAAAGGAGACUGCCAGUGAUAAACUGGAGGAAGGUGGGGAUGACGUCAAGUCAUCAUGGCCCUUACGACCAGGGCUACACACGUGCUACAAUGGCGCAUACAAAGAGAAGCGACCUCGCGAGAGCAAGCGGACCUCAUAAAGUGCGUCGUAGUCCGGAUUGGAGUCUGCAACUCGACUCCAUGAAGUCGGAAUCGCUAGUAACCGUGGAUCAGAAUGCCA